UUAAUUAAACUGUAUCUGUGUGUUUACUUUUUGUGCAGCUUGCCUACCAGGUGGUGCAACUUCAGCAGCAGAUUAAAAUCAAAGAUAGUGUUCUGGAGGAGCAGCAUGCCAGGCAGCAGCAGGAGGAGCCUGUGCUUCAGGGUGCGUUUGAUUCCCGGCUAGCGCUGCAGGGGCGGGUGGAGACUGUCCGAGGGGACAUGGGUGCGUUGAAAUCGGAUUACGACGCACUGCUGGAGCGUCAGAAGGAGGCGGAGACUAAACUACGGGAGGAGAAGCUGCGGGGGGGAAUCCUGCUGCAGGAUGUCAUUCACCGGAAACAGCAGGAGGCCGCAAACAUGAACACACGCAACGAGCGCCGCUGCAGAGCUCGAGAGGCGGCGAGGUCGAAGGUAACCGUGGAAACAAGGU